rfam:Nicotiana sylvestris Nsyl_contig210613, whole genome shotgun sequence.
GGAAUCAAGAGCUCCAAGUGGGCCACCUUCUCUAAUCACUGAACCUUUGAUUUCUAUUGUUCGAAAAGAUUGCAACUGGAGAAGUGACGCGCUAACCUAGAUCCCACAAAGGGUGUUGGUUGAUUAAGAAAGCAGGACGGUGGUCAUGGAAGUCGAAAUCCACUAAGGAGUGUGUAACAACUCACUUGUCGAAUCAACUAGCCCCGAAAAUGGAUGGCGCUUAAGCGCGCGACCUACACCCGGUCGUCGGGGCAAGUGCCAGGCCCCGAUGAGUAAGAGGGCGCGGCGGUCGCUCUUCGUAUAGUGAUCCCUAAUCCAAACCAAAGAAUAUCUU